UAAUCUGCGAUAAGCGCCGGUAAGGUGAUAUGAACCGUUAUAACCGGCGAUUUCCGAAUGGGGAAACCCAGUGUGACUCGUCACACUAUCAUUAACUGAAUCCAUAGGUUAAUGAGGCGAACCGGGGGAACUGAAACAUCUAAGUACCCCGAGGAAAAGAAAUCAACCGAGAUUCCCCCAGUAGCGGCGAGCGAACGGGGAGGAGCCCAGAGCCUGAAUCAGCAUGUGUGUUAGUGGAAGCGUCUGGAAAGGCGCGCGAUACAGGGUGACAGCCCCGUACACAAAAGCGCAUGUGCUGUGAGCUCGAUGAGUAGGGCGGGACACGUGGUAUCCUGUCUGAAUAUGGGGGGACCAUCCUCCAAGGCUAAAUACUCCUGACUGACCGAUAGUGAACCAGUACCGUGAGGGAAAGGCGAAAAGAACCCCGGCGAGGGGAGUGAAAAAGAACCUGAAACCGUGUACGUACAAGCAGUGGGAGCACCCUUUGGGGUGUGACUGCGUACCUUUUGUAUAAUGGGUCAGCGACUUAUAUUCUGUAGCAAGGUUAACCGAAUAGGGGAGC
rnacentral:rRNA from 1 species